rnacentral:rRNA from 1 species
GAUGAACGCUGGCGGCGUGCCUAACACAUGCAAGUCGAGCGAACAGACGAGGAGUUUGCUCCUCUGACGUUAGCGGCGGGCGGGUGAGUAACACGUGGAUAACCUACCUAUAAGAGUGGGAUAACUUCGGGAAACGGGAGCUAAUACCGGAUAAUCUAUUGAACCGGAUGGUUCAAUAGUGAAUGACGGGUUUGCUGUCACUUCUCGAUGGAUCCGCGCGGCAGUAGCUAGUUGGUAGGGUAACAGCUUACCACGGCAGCGAUGCGUAGCCGACGUGAGAGAGUGAUAGGCCACACUGGAGCUGAAACGCGGACCAGGGGCCUACGGGAGGGAGCAGUAGGGAAUGGGCGGCAGUGGGGGGGAACAUGGCGGAACGGCGGCGAGUGAGAGGUGACGGUCUUGGGAGCGUAAAACUCGGUUAUGAGGGAAGAACAAAUGUGGAAUUUGCCGAGCAGGUCUUGACGGUACCUGAUAAGGAAGCAACGGCUAACUACGUG